UUAACUCGAAUUUGUAUGGAGUUGAAAUGUUUGCCUGCGCUUGCCGCUAGGGGCGCUGUUCCAACUACAUACAAAUUUGAGUUA
rnacentral:pre_miRNA from 1 species